GGUGAGCAGCAAUGGAUCGGUUGAUUCGCGUAGCGAUGAAAAACACAGCUAGUUGCGUUAUUUAACACGAAUUGCAGAAGCUUAGAGUGGUGAAAUUUUGAACGCAUAGCGCCGUUUGGUCUUCUCCCGUCGGCACGUCUGGUUCAGGAAAU
rnacentral:rRNA from 1 species